UACAGAGGGUUCAAGCGUUGUUCGGAAUUACUGGGCGUAAAGCGCGUGUAGGCGGCGGCGUAAGUCGGAUGUGAAAGCCCUCGGCUUAACCGAGGAAGUGCAUUCGAUACUGUGUCGCUUGAGUACCGGAGGGGAUGGCGGAAUUCCCGGUGUAGAGGUGAAAUUCGUAGAUAUCGGGAGGAACACCUGUGGCGAAGGCGGCCAUCUGGACGGUGACUGACGCUGAGACGCGAAAGCGUGGGUAGCAAACAGG
rnacentral:rRNA from 1 species